rnacentral:tRNA from 1 species
GCCAAUGUAGCUCAGGGGUAGAGCACUUCCUUGGUAAGGAAGAGGUCCGGAGUUCAACUCUCCGCAUUGGCUCAA